AAACACAAAUUCAAUUUUAAAAGUUUAUUAUUGUCAUGACCACGGGGCCCAAUUAUUGGAAGUUCUAGAAAAUUCUUUAUCACUUGGAUUUUGCAGUGAAGGAAGCCUUAUCUUCUUCCCCAUCAGCUCUCAACCAUUUCCACAUUCACUCACUUUGCUAGCGGCGAGCUCAGGUCUUUUGCGGAGCAUGGCUACCACGUUUACCUCAGUGUGUUCGAUUGCUUCCACAAGCCAGUCAGUGGAUAAGAAAUUCAUCAAUUCUUCUGAAACUUUAUCUUCAUUCUCUGGGAUAUCUUUGACUUCAUUUGGGGGCAGGGGAAAGAAUAAAGCUUUAAAGAAGAGAUAUGAUUCCAAGAUCAAGUCUAUGGCCAAGGAGUUACACUUCAAUCAGGAUGGUUCUGCCAUUAAGAAGCUGCAAGCAGGUGUUAACAAGCUUGCAGAUCUAGUAGGUGUUACUCUUGGUCCAAAAGGAAGAAAUGUGGUUCUUGAGAGCAAAUAUGGCCCUCCGAAAAUUGUAAAUGAUGGUGUUACUGUUGCCAGAGAGGUUGAACUAGAAGACCCUGUUGAGAAUAUUGGUGCAAGUGUGGUGAGACAAGCUGCUUCAAAAACAAAUGACUUAGCUGGGGAUGGAACUACUACAUCUGUUGUUUUAGCACAGGGGAUCAUAGCUGAGGGUGUUAAGGUUGUUGCAGCUGGUGCGAACCCUAUUCAGAUUUCCAGGGGCAUCGAGAGGACGACCAAAGCCCUGGUUUCUGAGCUAAAGAAAAUUUCAAAAGAGGUCGAGGACAGUGAAUUAGCAGAUGUAGCUGCAGUUAGUGCAGGAAACAACUAUGAAGUAGGAAAUAUGAUAGCAGAAGCCUUGAGUAAAGUGGGUAGGAAAGGUGUAGUUACUCUUGAGGAAGGACGGGGUUCUGCGAACAACUUAUAUGUCGUGGAAGGCAUGCAAUUUGACCGUGGCUAUUUCUCCCCAUACUUUGUAACAGACAAUGAGAGGAUGGUAGCUGAAUACGAAAACUGCAAGCUGCUUCUGGUGGACAAGAAGAUAAAAAAUGCAAGGGAUUUAGUCAAUGUUUUGGAAGAAGCAAUCAAGAGUGGAAAUCCGAUAGUGGUUAUCGCUGAAGACAUAGAGCAGGAAGCUCUAGCCACACUGGUUGUGAACAAAUUAAGAGGAGCAUUGAAAAUUGCUGCUCUCAAAGCUCCUGGUUAUGGAGAUCGAAAAAGGCAAUAUCUUGAUGACAUUGCUGUUCUUACUGGAGGUACUGUCAUCCGAGAGGAAGUUGGUUUAUACCUGGAGAAGGCUGGAAGUGAGGUCUUAGGGAAUGCUGCCAAAGUGGUUUUAGCAAAGGAGUCAACAACAAUUGUUGGUGAUGGUAGUACACAGGAUGCAGUAAGCAAACAAAUUGGCCAAAUUAAAAGACUUCUUGAGUCAACUGAACAAGACUAUGAGAAGGAAAAACUGAGUGGGAGAAUUGCGAAACUCUCUGGGGGCGUUGCCGUAAUUCAGGUUGGUGCACAAACUGAAACAGAACUCAAAGAAAAGAAAUUGAGAGUAGAGGAUGCACUCAAUGCAACGAAGGCAGCUGUUGAAGAAGGCAUUGUAGUUGGUGGUGGAUGCACCUUAUUGCGGCUUGCUGCCAAAGUUGAAGACAUUAAAGGAACUCUUGAUAAUGAUGAACAAAAGAUUGGAGCCGAUAUUGUCAAGAGGGCUUUGCGCUACCCUAUGAAGUUAAUAGCCAAGAAUGCUGGUGUUAGUGGAAGUGUUGUAAUUGAAAAGGUGUUGUCCAAUGACAAUCCAAACUAUGGUUAUAAUGCCGCCACUGGAAAUUAUGAAGAUCUAAUGGCUGCUGGUAUAAUUGAUCCUACAAAGGUGGUAAGAUGCUGCUUGGAGCAUGCAGCUUCAGUUGCAAGGACCUUUCUGACAUCAGAUGCUGUGGUCACUGAGAUCAAGGUGCCUGAACCUGUAGUUGUUGGGAACCCAAUGGACAAUUCAGGUUAUGGACCCUAAACUGUUGAAGAAGGGAUUGAUUACAUGCCUGAGUACUGUUGCACAGAAGUCCAGCAGUAUGAUGGUAAAUUUCGAAUAAUUGGAAUAAAUUAGCAACAUAGAGGAAAAGUUAUCAAACACAGAGAUACAUAGAACUUUGGAUAAAAGGAUGUUCUGCCGUACGUGCUCUGGAUCUGGUCUGUUGUUCUCUGUCCUGAUUUCGACUGGCCUCUGUUCAAAUUCCAGCUUUUAUUUAUACUGUUUAGAGAUCAUGACAAAUCAUAGGUAGUACUGUUGCUACCUAUUCUGAUAAGGAACAAGUUCUUUUCUUUAUGAGUUCCCUUAGUUAAUUGAAUUGGCCAGUGUCCUCUUAUCUUUAUUGAGUUCGAUUAAAGACAAGGACUUUCUUGUUGAAAUGCCCCAUGUCCCGGAGUUAGCGGCUUUGAAGAUAGGGAAAGGGACAAGGAUAGCAAAAUACACACUCUUGAGUUUGUUUGUGUACACUAUCGAAAAUAAUUUAUAUUUA